rnacentral:rRNA from 1 species
UACGUAGGGGGCAAGCGUUGUCCGGAAUCAUUGGGCGUAAAGAGCGCGUAGGCGGCCCAGUAAGUCCGCUCUGAAAGUCAGAGGCUCAACCUCUGAAUGCGGGUGGAUACUGCUGGGCUAGAGUCCGGAAGAGGCGAGUGGAAUUCCUGGUGUAGCGGUGAAAUGCGCAGAUAUCAGGAGGAACACCGAUGGCGAAGGCAGGAUCUCUGGGCCACUACUGACGCUGAGAAGCGAAAGCAUGGGGAGCGAACAGG